rnacentral:lncRNA from 1 species
UCAUUCCCCAGUUUCAUAAUAAACAAUUCAAAUUUUAUCUAGGUGUCCAAUUGGAUCUUCAAUUGUGUUCUUAUCUGGGGGUAAGAGAAGACUGGCCUCCCAGCUUGUCUCAUUGACGUUGCACACCUUGAUCCAGAACAGAAACAGCUGUGCACACCAGAAAUUCAUCUUUCAUUAAAGUUCGAAGGUUGCUUAUUAGAAUUAGAAUUAUUAUUUUAUUGCGAGGCUGGAAUUUGUGACCCAGCAGAGAAAGAAACCAACUUCCUCGACAGGAUUCAGGCAGCCGGUGCCAAACAGGCAAUAUAACAUAAUGUAAUAAUAUUGCUUCACAAAUUAGUUUCUAUUUCUGUUGAAAGAACACUGUUGUCCCAAAAAUUAAAGGUACUGUCUGAAUUGCAGUUGACAUUUACUCAAUGAAUUAGCUUUCAGCUCUUUAAUUAGUAGGUGUGCGUAUCUCUGAAACAGACCUGAACAUCAGUUCCAUCAAUUAACGGAAAAACAAGACGCAAUUAAUCUUAAAUGAUACGCAUAUAAAAUGAGCACUUAAAAUUAAGCUUUUUCUCAUUUAUGUUUUUUUUGCAAGGUGCACACAUAGUGCUCCACAGGAUCCUGUUGUUCCUGGCCGACCUCUGAAGGUAUCGUCUUCGCAGAAAUGGCUGCCCUGUACUGCAGACGGAGGUGGGGAGAGACUCGGUGACGUUCGUACAGGAGGAGGAGACGAUUUGCGCCGCGUCAAGCCAGCUCGUUACAGCGGGUUCCUGCCAACUGUGGUGCGGGCUGGGCAGAGGUGGGCUUUGAGACGUCCCUGCCCUUUAAUGAGAAAUAAUGCUCCCUCCAAUAUCCUUUUCCAUU